AUUACACAUUCUGCUUGUGUUUGUAUUUUGAAUUGGAAUCUUAAUCUGAACGAAAAUCGAAAUGCCGAUACUGAAUCGUAACCGUGUAAACUGAUAUUGUACGAAUAGUAUAUUUUCUUUCCUUGCAGUGGUGGGUUAGAAAUUUGCGCUGUUUACAGUAUCAGUCUACGUACUCCAAUAUUGUUUAUCUAUCUCAAUCUGACUAUAAAUACAGCCUUUAACUCUCUUCCCCCAUUUGGCUAAAAAACCCCAAUAAAUAAAAAUAUCCAAGGGCCCGUGGGCCAGAUUAACACCGAAAACAUGCCUUUUUAAAAAAAAAAAAAAAUUAUAUUGUGUGCUAGGAACGUGAAGUUAUUAUCAUAACAAUAAAUUGGUUAUUCAUAAUAAUUAAUAGUUGGAAUAUAAUAUUUAUAUAUAGACGCAGGAGGACGUGCAAUCAAGUUUGUACGUGAUCAAAUUUAAUCUAUAAUCUAUUGCCGGUGUUUUAUUAAUAAAAUCUAAAAUUAAUUUAAUAAUACAAUACAUAGCAAUAUCAUGAAGUAAAGUGCAUAUUAGUAGUAUAUUAUUAUCAUCCAAGUAAUCCUAUAACUUAUUAGACUAAUGCCAAUGGGAUAGUGUUGCGUGGAUCAUUCACUGUUUGCAAUCUGAGAGAGCUAGUAUACGUGAUCUCCAUUAAUCGUUUGUUCAAAAUAUAAAGUGUGUUUGAAUUUUAAUGUUAAUUUAACAAUUUUUACAUGGAAAUCUAAGAAACACGAAAGAUAAUGACAAUGAUGGUGUUCCCCCAAAUGGUGGCGGACCAAGUACAGUUGUAAAUGGCGAAAGUCGCGGCUCAACAAUUUACAGAGAAGAGAUAUCUUCGAUGUGCAAAAAGAUAUGUCAGCUGCAGAGUGACCGCACGGAUGGGAUUAGACCCUGGAUCAAUUAUUGUUCUUGGCCGACAGUAACACAUCCAUCACCCAAACCGUCAACGUUCAUUGUUCAUUGGAAGUCCGGGUGUUCCUCAAUGCUUUAAGGGAACGCGGACGAAGUGAGAAUGUAUCACCGACUCAAAUAUAUAAUGAGACUGCUCCUCAGUAUGUUUUUAUUUAUUUAAAUUCUAAAAUGAUACAAUUUUAAGUAAUA